CCUCGGGCGAAACGGUAAAUCAUGACUAAUGGGUAAAGAUGUACAACCUCUGCAGAGUGUAAAACUGGUAUACUAGCCAUGCUCACGGUCAUGAGCGGCCUUGGGGAUUCUUGCAUCGACGAUGAUGAUUCUUGUGUGUUAAAUAUGCCCAUUAUUUAUUAUUUAAUGCUUUACAUUAUUUAUGUCACAUUGAUCAUGAGAUUGUGGGAUCUAUACAAUCUAGUUGCUAUACUUGUGGAGUUCGAUAUGGACUCACUCUUGCAAUUUCCCCCACACCUCAGGAGAAGUUUUGGGCUUGUGAUCAACCAGUCAGUUGGAUCCUGUGGAGAGAAGUUAAUACCCGAGGUUUAGAGUUGUCUAUCCGCUGUUUGAUGCUAAAGGUUAUCUCUUUUAUAUUAUGUACGUUAUAUAUUUAUGUAUUGUCUUUUGAUAUUACCCCUUAUUUGUAGCUAUAUGUGAGAUUUGACUUCUAAAACUCACAUAUGGUGCAUAUCUGGUUUUGUCCUUAAAAUCGGGUAUUACAGAGAUUCAUAGGAUCAUUGGGAGGUUCAAGAGAAAGAGCAUAGUAGAAAUUAUUAGGCUCAAGGAUGGGUUUAAAGAUAGGUUCGAACGAGUCAUCAAAAGUGGGCGUAGAAGGGGAGAAGAUGAGAUUGUGUUCUAAAUGGCUUUGCUCUCCUUCUAUUGCAUCACUUAAGACGCCAUCCUUGAGUCUUCCUAGAUGUCCAUCAGAGGGAUUGGAUUUGAGAUGCUUUCUAAGAGAUCCCUUCUUAGGAAGGUUCAGACUAUAUGCACUCAAAGGUCUCUUAUGAAGAAGGAAGUUUAAGCUCAUCCCAAAAUGAAUUUUCAAAGGAAGAAUUUCUUCUUCCCUUAGAUGAUUUUGGAGCACUACUAGUUUGGGUUGGACAGCCAAAUCAUGGGAUUGAAAUGUUUGGAAAUCGACUAUUGAAACUUCCUUUCCUCGUAUGGGAGAUGAUUCCUUCUCUAUCUCUAGGAUUUUUUAUGAAGACUAGUGCAAGAAGGAUGUCCACAAAUGAAGACAUACCUUGCUUUACUAACAGAUAAAGAAAUAAAAACUCUACCAAAGGGGAUUAAGACCAAUGUGAAAAUAUCGAGGGAAAACAUGGUCUUGUAGGGCUAGGUCUAAACCAGAAUUUAUAGAAAGAUUAAAAGAUUCCCUAGGUGUAGCUAAAAGUUCAUUAUCUUAUUGAUUAAAAGAUAGGACCUCGGCUAUAGAAAAGGGUUGGUUUUGACCUAUUGCAAUCAACUCCGGACACAGAUCAUAAUUAGGGGCAAAGAAAGGACUUGUUGACUCCCAUGGUCUAUGGCUGGUCUCCGAAGGUGCAAAAAAUUCAAUAGUAGGUGUGGAAUUUGAGUUAUCCAUAAAGAUGAAAAAAAAUAAAAAGAUAAAAGAAUAAAAGUAUAAAAGUAUAAUACAAGAUAAUAGCAAGACUCAAAGUUAUCUCAGCAGACAGUCUUUCUCCCCACCAACAGCGUCAGAAAUGCUUGUUGAUAUUUGUUAACGCCAUUAGGAAAUGAUCCGCAAGCGCAUGGAUAUCGGUGAGUACUUCACCCGAGAGGUUAGCCAGAGUAUCGUAUUUAUAUUUUUACCACUGGGAGAAAGCGUGCAUCUGACUAACCAAAUCUAUUGCUACUACCCUUUAGGCUACAAACAAUGUGAUUCGAUGUGAGCGAUGUAUAGAGAAGACUACAACCGCACUCUCGUUCUAACCUUGGUAAGGAUGAUUUACUGUUCUGUUGGGGAGGCUAACGGAAUCUAGACACCACAGAGGAUGUUUGAACCGCACCUAUAAACCCUAUCAAUCCUGCUAACGGGAUAUGGGCUACAAAGGUAACUCAGAAAUGUCACGUUCCUCACUACUACCACGGUCCGGCUAGACAAGGGAUAUCUAUGAGUAUCCUAGCCAAAACACCACAUUUACGCUAGAGAUGAUUACUCUAAACUCUACGCGAAGAGAUCAAAGUAAACUCAUAAACCAAAGAACAAUAAAACAAAAAACUUACUAGAAUUUAGAAGUCGAAAUACUGAAGAAUCCUAGGAGCAAGCCUCGGGUUAGGAGACUUGAUCCCGCAGGUACAACCUCGGAGUAGACACCGACAGGCCGGGCUUCCUCCGAUCUACACCUCCACUCUAUCUCUCUCAAUCUAGUAGAACUAAUUCUACUCUCACAUUGGAUGCUAAGCCCUAUGAGGUUGGAACCCUAAAGGAACCUCUCUCUCUGAAUCCUCUCUGAAAAAUAUGCUAAUGAAUAAUGGGGAUUGCCUCCUCCAGGGGCCCGGGGGCCUGCUUAUAUAGCCCCUCCAAAUGAACGUGGGCCGUCGGAUCAAACUGACCUUAAUCGCAUGGUUUUCCUUGAUCCC
rnacentral:lncRNA from 1 species